rnacentral:rRNA from 1 species
UACGGGGGGGCGAGCGUUGUUCGGAAUUACUGGGCGUAAAGGGUUUGUAGGGGGCCUGCUAAGUCAGACGUGAAAUCCCUCAGCUUAACUGGGGAACUGCGUCCGAUACUGGUGGGCUUGAAUCCGGGAGAGGGAUGUGGAAUUCCAGGUGUAGCGGUGAAAUGCGUAGAUAUCUGGAGGAACACCGGUGGCGAAGGCGGCAUCCUGGACCGGUAUUGACGCUGAGGCGCGAAAGCUAGGGGAGCAAACGGG